UAGCAUCACAAAGUAGCUAGAUUUCAUUCCUAGCUAGAGUGCAUUUAGGGUUAUAUCGAUCUAAUCAUUUCUCCCUUGCCAAUUAAGUCUCCAUCGAUCGGUAAAUCAGCUAUGGAAGCGAGAAAAGCCAGUGUUGUUUGCUGCAUCUUACUGCUUGUGUUAGCACUUGGAGGUCCUGCUUCUGCCACAGAUUAUUGCUACAAAGCCAUUGGCAAGCUGAUCGUCUGCGUGGGUCCUACGUGCAAGUUGGACUGUUGGCUUGAGGCGAAAUACAAUAAAGGCAGAGUCAAGCGUCACAAGUGCAUGAAACAUGGCAUAUUUGCCAAAUGUUACUGCGAAAUCUGUGUUACAUUUUGAGGGAAUCGAUCGACAAUUUGUAAAAGUCUUUAGUUGAUUUAGUCUCGUGUAAUAAUCUAGUACGUUGUUUGCUAGCUAGUUUCUUUUAAUAAUUGAUUAGUUUUGGGAGUUGCUUUUGUUUGGAUAUAGGAUAUGUGAUUAUUUAAUUUCUUCCUCCAAUGUAUCAGUUAUCACUGUACUCUCAUUCAAGAUUUUUUUUAAAAUAAAGUAUAAGUGAUAAUUGCAUUAUAAUUUUAAU